rnacentral:lncRNA from 1 species
GAGCUACGUCUUCUUGAAUGAGAGGUUGCCCCACGGUAAGUGAGGGAAGUGUAAAGCAUAGCCUUGUCGAAGUUGUAGCUGUAGCUUAUUCAAUUCCUUGUCCCCCCUUAGUCUGGCAGAUGGAGCUCAUUGGCUUCCUUAUCUUUCUUAGCGUGUAGUAGCUUGGUAACCUUAGCAGGCCAAAGCACACGCUCUGAUUGGCUCUUUUCGCUAUUGCAUUGCUAAGCUUGCUGCGUGUCGAAGCUAUAAGCAAGAACGCAAGGCGCGAAGUAGUUGCCCCUUUUUUCUCCUGUAGCAAACCGAGUGUCGCUGAUCGUCAUCCACUGGCGAAGCUAUCUAGUAGUGAGGGAUUCCUCAGCAUUGCCUAGGUUCGGGCAUUCUAUUUGCGUUUUCAGCUUUGGGUAACGCCUCCUCUAUG